rnacentral:rRNA from 1 species
GAGUUUGAUCCUGGCUCAGGACGAACGCUGGCGGCGUGCUUAACACAUGCAAGUCACGGGGGCCCGCAAGGGCAACCGGCGAACGGGUGCGUAACACGUGAGCAAGCUUCCGAUUUGUGGGGGAUAGCCGGCCUAACGGCCGGGUAAUACCGCAUACGUUCACUGGGCGGCAUCGUCUGGUGAGGAAACCUCCGGGGCAAAUCGAGGCGCUCGCGGCCUAUCAGCUAGUUGGCGGGGUAAUGGCCCACCAAGGCGACGACGGGUAGCUGGUCUGAGAGGAUGGCCAGCCACAUUGGGACUGCGACACGGCCCAGACUCCUACGGGAGGCAGCAGUGGGGAAUAUUGCGCAAUGGACGAAAGUCUGACGCAGCGACGCCGCGUGUGGGGUGAAGCUCUUCGGGGUGUAAACCACUGUUGCCCGGGACGAAAUGCCCUUUCGAGGGAAUUGACGGUACCGGGUGAGGAAGCACCGGCUAACUCUGUGCCAGCCGCCGCGGUAAC